AACUUAGCUUGGGCUGAGAAAGUAACAAACUGCCUAGCCUUUCAUCUGGAUGAAUAACAGAGUCAAAUAAAGCCAGACGACGUUAAGAGGAAACAAUGUUUGACAUACGGCAACGGAAAAGUAUUACCCCUUUGAAGACAGGGUCUUGAACGCCUAGCCUCAAGUGAUCCUACUGCCUCCACCUCCCAAAGUGUUGAAAUUACCGGCCUGAGCCACUGUGUCUGGCUCCUAUGUUGUCCUUAUAAGAACACCAUGUGAAGAUACAGAGACACACAGGGAAAAAGCCCAUGCGAAGACAGAGACAGAGACUGAAGUGCUGCAGCUACAAGCCAAAGAAUGCUGAGGAUUGCUGGCAACCACCAGAAGCUAGGGGAGAGGCAUGUGUGGUUUCUGCUGCAGACCCUCCAGAAGGAACUAACCCUGCUGACACCUUGAUUUAGGAGUGCUGGCUUCCUGAAUUGUGAGAGAAUAAAUUUCUGUUCUUUAAAGCCA